UACACACAAUGAGGCCACACACACUUUCUCGCUUUCUGGUGACGACGACGACGACGACGACGACGACGGCGAAGCAACGACUCGUCGAAAAGCGCGCACUGUGUGUUUCAGAACAUUUGUUCUUCCACACCACACGCCUUUGGCUUUCCACGAGUUCCAGCAGCGAUGUUAGCACUUUUUGUAGUUAGCUUCAGAGAGAUUACAAUAUGUCUUGAGGUAUCUAAAACAUCCUAAAAACGCUUUUAAAAUAAACCUUUUGACACCUUGUCACUUUGUGCACAGUACAGCGCACAAAAAGUUACACAUGCCCUCAAACGUAAAAUGUCAUCAAUAAAACAUGAU